GGUCAAGUGAAGAAGCGCAUACGGUGGAUGCCUUGGCAGUCAGAGGCGAUGAAAGACGUGGUAGCCUGCGAAAAGCUUCGGGGAGUCGGCAAACAGACUUUGAUCCGGAGAUCUCUGAAUGGGGGAACCCACCUAGGAUAACCUAGGUAUCUUGUACUGAAUCCAUAGGUGCAAGAGGCGAACCAGGGGAACUGAAACAUCUAAGUACCCUGAGGAAAAGAAAUCAACCGAGAUUCCCUUAGUAGUGGCGAGCGAACGGGGAUUAGCCCUUAAGCUUCAUUGAUUUUAGCGGAACGCUCUGGAAAGUGCGGCCAUAGUGGGUGAUAGCCCCGUACGCGAAAGGAUCUUUGAAGUGAAAUCGAGUAGGACGGAGCACGAGAAACUUUGUCUGAACAUGGGGGGACCAUCCUCCAAGGCUAAAUACUACUGACUGACCGAUAGUGAACCAGUACCGUGAGGGAAAGGCGAAAAGAACCCCGGAGAGGGGAGUGAAAUAGAACCUGAAACCGUAUGCGUACAAGCAGUGGGAGCCUACUUGUUAGGUGACUGCGUACCUUUUGUAUAAUGGGUCAGCGACUUAUAUUCAGUGGCAAGCUUAACCGUAUAGGGUAGGCGUAGCGAAAGCGAGUCUUAAUAGGGCGUUUAGUCGCUGGGUAUAGACCCGAAACCGGGCGAUCUAUCCAUGAGCAGGUUGAAGGUUAGGUAACACUGACUGGA
rnacentral:rRNA from 1 species